rnacentral:lncRNA from 1 species
CAGAAACGAGACCCAGCUGAGUAGAGCUAUAGUAACAACACUUCUGAACCACAUAUAUUUUUGGCUAGAGAGCUAUCAAGAAACAUUACCCAACAAAUCAGCUGUGCUUUUGGCUUGAAGAAUGAAGAGGAAAGGCCCUAGGCAGAUGGUGGCAGUGGUGAGCUGGCACACACUUGUCACCAGAGUGUGACAUCUGUGACUGGAGUUAUCUCCUAAACCAGGAGUGUGGUAAAAUAUUCCUUCCUAAAUU